rnacentral:misc_RNA from 1 species
UUUCAUUGGCAACCAAGUCAUUAUUCCCUUAGCCCCAUUACAACACUUUUAAAGACUUUUUGAUCUUUUGAAAAGUGCAUGCUAUAUUAGUGGAGAUAGGAAAUUGAGAUAUGCCUAUGGGGUUAGAAUUGAAUUACUUCAUCACAAUUACUCACAAAGAGGCAAAUUUGGGGAGUUAGUGUUUCUCAAAUCUUUCUCGAUAAAACAGGUUAUUUGUGGCUUAUUAAUGGUUUUGUAUAGAGAAAUAAUUAGUCAAAACACCAUGAAAUGAGAUGAAGUUCUAAACAGGCAGCUAUUAGAACCCUUAUGCCUUGAAAGAGGGAAAUUGGAAUGAAGGUUGGAGGAGUUCAAUUAUAUGCUUAUUAAAUUGUUAGUUAUAUUCCUAAGUAUCCCCUGAAAUGUGUUUUAAAACAAAGUUUUGUUUUGCUUGAGGAUAAGCAAAAGUUUGAGUUUGGGGGUAUUUGAUACACUUGAAUUGUAUAGAUGUUUUUAAGCAUUUUUGUAUACUAUUCCAUAGCAUUUAGGCAAGUAUUUUCAUGCAUAAUAGUUGAAUUCAUUAGUUUUUAUAAUUUAUAUUGUCAAGCCCUUAAUUCUAUGUUUUCUGCAUCAUUUCAGGUGUUUGGGUAAAGUCUCAGAGUAUAGGAGUGCAAAGGAAAACUUGGAGAAGUCAAGAGACAGAGAAUUGCUGCUGAUAUAAAGUACACAGGUCGUGUAAACCAAGCCCCAGAUCCGUGUAACUCUCUGCUACAAGAAAGCCAAGAGAAUCAAUGGAGAAACACAAGUACACGGGUCGUGUAAGUAGUCCUGUGUAAUCUGGAUGGACCCAUGUAAGUUUCUAUCGCGUGCAAGCUUGAAAAAACCUUAUGGGAAUUAUAGUACACGGCCCGUGUAACUAGGCCCGUGUAGUUGGCGCAGACCCGUGUAACUCUCUGUGCCAAUGCAAGAUUUUGCAAUUCUCCUCCAGUAAGUUACACGGCCGGACAUGCAGGAACCUGUGUAGUGACACAUGGUCCAUGUACUAUGCUACAACCAGUUUUAUAACUCGAAUUCCCCACCUGUUUUCUGAUUCAAAUGAAACUUCUAAAGCCUUUUGGACUCAAAACGACCUAACCCUAGAGCAACCACUAUAAAUAGAAGAGAAAACAUCAGACUGAAGAGAAGACUGACAGGGGUUCGGCCGACUCGCUCUCUCUUUUAUCUUUUGACAGCACUUUUGAGGAGUUUUGAGGGAGAGAAAUCUAGCCGUCUCAAGGAGAGAAACAUCAGUACCAAAAGAAGUUUUCUAGCUGAAGUUCCACAAGAUCAAAGCUGCAAACUCUCUUCGGUUUCUUCGUUUCAUCUUUCUAGACAGAUUUUUAUUUUUUUUAUUUCUUCUACAUGAUUUACUUUUUACUGUUUUUUACCUUUUAUCAUGAUGUUAGCUGAACUCACCAUGAGUGAGUAGUUUUCUUAUUCUGGAUUUGGGAGAGUAGCGCUUAUAAUUAUUAUUAUGGAUGAACACUAAGUUUUAUUUAUUGGAUUUGAGAUUUGUUCCUUGAUUUAAUUUCUUACGAUCUUAAUGUAUGCUAUGUGUUAGUACCCACUUAGUAUCGAUUAUAGAUAUUAAUUGAAAAACUGAAAGGUGAAGAUUAAUAUUAGAAAAUCAAGAUUUUGAACAUAGGAAAUCUGACCUAGAGAUAGGCUGGUAACUUUUGUGGAGUUCCAAAAUUAAUCAUAGAUCUUAAAGGGUUUUAAUUAAGACUAAUCACCAACGAAAGUAAAGUUUGGCUCUAAUUGAAAUACACCUUAGAUACCUUGAGAGCGGAUCUAAGAUACUUUAGGAUUAAUUUCCAUCAAGGCAAACGAUUCUCAAUCCAAUAAAUAUACAAGAUUACAUCCAUAAUAAGGUUAAAGUGUGAAAUCUUAAUUCUGGAAUUAUUUCAAAAUAGUUUAUUCCUCCUUAAAUUCAUUACCCUUUUUAUUCUCAGUAUUCAAAAUAGACAAAUUUCACUCUCCAUUUUAUUCGAUAGCCUAGAUAGCCAAAAUCACUGUAUAAUCUAGUACUUACUAGUUAAAUUCCUAGUGGGACGAUACUCUACUCACUACUAUUACUUGUUCGCGAUCCGUGCACUUGUGAGGUUAAGAAACCAGCAAACACUAUUAAUCGAAGGACCUAUCAAGGCUCUAGAAGGUUUCUACAUAGUUGCUAGGCUUGCUUUGAAAUCUCACUGCUCACUCACCUGCCCCUACAUAAGUUUAAAAAAUACACAAACUCUGCAAAUGCCAAAUUCCACUCACAGA